rnacentral:lncRNA from 1 species
GAGUUUCUUAAGACCAUCCUAUGUGACCUCCUGCAUUGACCGUUUGCUGGCUCCUGGUUGGGUGACAGAAAGCCUUUCAAGAUGCUACCAAACUUAUAGAAAUUACUCUGAUUUGAUGGUCUACAGCCUUGUAUCUACUUUGCCUUGGUUGGGUGUUCUGGGAACCUCCUACCAAGAUUUCCUGUUGCCUCCAUUUUAGAGCAUUUUCUCCAAUGGCUGGAAGUUAGUAGGACCCAGCAGAUGCUGCUGCCUGAGUUCAGUCAGCAGAGUAACACUGUGAUUCCUUCCAGCUUCUUUGCUUGUACAUCAAGAGGAAGGAGGAUGCUAACUUUAUAACUUCUCCCCGUUGUGCCCCAGAGGUUAGGCACCUUGCCAUAUACAGAUGUUAUCAAAAGUGGAAUAAUUUUAUAAAUGAACUGUGAAAUAACAACAGUCUACAUAAAUGUAUGCUUUGGUUCAAG